rnacentral:rRNA from 1 species
GACGAACGCUGGCGGCGUGCUUAACACAUGCCAGUCGAACGGAAAGGCCCUGCUUUUGUGGGGUGCUCGAGUGGCGAACGGGUGAGUAACACGUGAGUAACCUGCCCUUGACUUUGGGAUAACUUCAGGAAACUGGGGCUAAUACCGGAUAGGAGCUCCUGCUGCAUGGUGGGGGUUGGAAAGUUUCGGCGGUUGGGGAUGGACUCGCGGCUUAUCAGCUUGUUGGUGGGGUAGUGGCUUACCAAGGCUUUGACGGGUAGCCGGCCUGAGAGGGUGACCGGCCACAUUGGGACUGAGAUACGGCCCAGACUCCUACGGGAGGCAGCAGUGGGGAAUAUUGCACAAUGGGCGGAAGCCUGACGCAGCGACGCCGCGUGGGGGAUGACGGCCUUCGGGUUGUAAACCGCCUUCGCCUGUGACGAAGCGUGAGUGACGGUAAUGGGUAAAGAAGCACCGGCUAACUACGUG